rnacentral:rRNA from 1 species
UAGUAACGGCGAGUGAAGCGGGAACAGCUCAAAUUUGAAAUCUGGCCUUCGGGUCCGAAUUGUAAUUUGCAGAGGAUGCUUUUGGUUAGGUACUUUCCGAGUUCCCUGGAACGGGACGCCUUAGAGGGUGAGAGCCCCGUACGGUUGGAUACCGAGCCUUUGUAAAGCUCCUUCGACGAGUCGAGUAGUUUGGGAAUGCUGCUCUAAAUGGGAGGUAAAUUUCUUCUAAAGCUAAAUACCGGCCAGAGACCGAUAGCGCACAAGUAGAGUGAUCGAAAGAUGAAAAGCACUUUGAAAAGAGGGUUAAAUAGCACGUGAAAUUGUUGAAAGGGAAGCGUUUAUGACCAGACUUUUUCCAGGCGAAUCAUCCGGUGUUCUCGCCGGUGCACUUCGUCUGGUUGAGGCCAGCAUCGGUUUCCGUGGGGGGAUAAAAGCGGUGGGAAUGUGACUCCUCCGGGAGUGUUAUAGCCCGCCGUAUAAUACCUCCAUGGGGACCGAGGUUCGCGCAUUGCAAGGAUGCUGGCGUAAUGGUCAUCAACGACCCGUCUUGAAACACGGACCAAGGAGUCGAACAUUUGUGCAAGUGUUUGGGUGUUAAACCCUCACGCGUAAUGAAAGUGAACGGAGGUGAGAGCCCUUACGGGUGCAUCAUCGACCGAUCCUGAUGUUUUCGGAUGGAUUUGAGUAAGAGCAUAACUGUUCGGACCCGAAAGAUGGUGAACUAUGCGUGGAUAGGGUGAAGCCAGAGGAAACUCUGGUGGAGGCUCGCAGCGGUUCUGACGUGCAAAUCGAUCGUCAAAUCUGCGCAUGGGGGCGAAAGACUAAUCGAACCAUCUAGUAGCUGGUUACCGCCGAAGU